rnacentral:misc_RNA from 1 species
UUAAGUUCAGCGGGUAGUCCUACCUGAUUUGAGGUCAAAUGGUCAAUUAAGUUGUCCAAGUCAAUGGACGGUUAGAAGCUGAUACAAAUGCUGAUCAUUUCAAAGGCGUAGAUAAUUAUCACACCAAGGAAAGGGGAUCAAGUAACCGCUAAUGCAUUUAAGGAGAGCUGAUCCAAAAGAGUUCCAGCAAAAGACUCCCA